rnacentral:misc_RNA from 1 species
AGCAGCCGCGGUAAUUCCAGCUCCAAUAGCGUAUAUUAAAGUUGUUGCAGUUAAAAGCUCGUAGUUGAAUUUCGGGAUCAAUAUGUUGGUCGUGCCUCGGUACGUACUAGCUUAUUGGUUUCUCCUUUCUGAAGAACCAUGAUGUCAUUUAUUUGGUGUCGUGGGGAAUCAGGACUGUUACUUUGAAAAAUUAGAGUGUUUAAAGCAGGCUCACGCUUGAAUACAUUAGCAUGGAAUAAUGAAAUAGGACGUCUGAUUCUAUUUUGUUGGUUUCUAGGAUCGACGUAAUGAUUAAUAGGGAUAGUUGGGGGCAUUAGUAUUCAAUUGUCAGAGGUGAAAUUCUUGGAUUUAUUGAAGCUAACUACUGCGAAAGCAUUUGCCAAGGAUGUUUUCAUUAAUCAAGAACGAAAGUUAGGGAUCGAAGACGAUCAGAUACCGUCGUAGUCUUAACCAUAAACUAUGCCGACUAGGGAUCGGAUGAUGUUAAUUUUUUAAUGUA